GAGGAAAGCUGGCGGCGUGCCUAAUACAUGCAAGUCGAGCGGACAGAUCGAAAGCUUGCUUUUGUUUCGUUAGCGGCGGACGGGUGAGUAACACGUGGGCAACCUGCCCUGUAGACGGGGAUAACAUCGAGAAAUCGGUGCUAAUACCGGAUAACACGAAAUAUCGCAUGACGUUUCGGUGAAAGACGGCUCAGGCUGUCGCUACAGGAGGGGCCCGGGGCGCAUUAGCUAGUUGGUGAGGUAACGGCUCACCAAGGCGACGAUGCGUAGCCGACCUGAGAGGGUGAUCGGCCACACUGGAACUGAGACACGGCCCAGACUCCUACGGGAGGCAGCAGUAAGGAAUCUUCCGCAAUGGACGAAAGCCUGACGGAGCAACGCCGCGUGAGCGAAGAAGGCCUUCGGGUCGUAAAGCUCUGUUGUUAGGGAAGAACAAGUAACGCAGUAACUGGCGUUACCGUGACGGUACCUAACGAGAAAGCCACGGCUAACUACGUG
rnacentral:rRNA from 1 species